rnacentral:rRNA from 1 species
GUCUUUUUGUAUUAUAAUUUAAAGUCUUGCCUGCCCMCUGAAUAUUUGAAUGGCCGCGGUAUUUUGACCGUGCAAAGGUAGCAUAAUCAUUAGUUUUUUAAUUGAAAGCUGGAAUGAAUGGUAGCAUAAGAGAAAAUCUGUCUCAAAUUAAUUUUUUUAAAAUUUUAUUUUUAAGUAAAAAAGCUUAAAUUUUUUUAAAAGACGAGAAGACCCUAUAGAGUUUAAUAAAAAUUAUAAGUAUUUUAAAAAUGAUUAUUUUUUUAUUUAUAAAAUUUAUUUUAUUGGGGUGAUAGAAAAAUUAAAUAAACUUUUUUUAUAAAAAAACAUUAAUUUAUGAAUUAAUGAUCCAAAAAUUUUGAUUAAAAGAAUAAAUUACCUUAGGGAUAACAGCGUAAUUUUUUCAGAGAGUUCUAAUCGAAGAAAAAGAUUGCGACCUCGAUGUUGGAUUAAAAUUAAUUAUUGGUGUAGAAGCUAAUUUAUUAGGUCUGUUCGACCUUUAAAAUUUUACA